rnacentral:lncRNA from 1 species
CAGGAAUGGAGUUUGAAGCACUUUUCAAACAUUUGCAAGCCUGUUGGCGGUCAGCAGUGGUCUUAGCCGCCGCAUUAAGGCUCCUAACGCCGCUGCAGCAGGCUGGAGGAGGCGCAGCUACGCCUUUCCUCAGAUAGGGAAUACAUGCUGAUACUGAACUUGCCACCUGCCCACAUGUAAUUGCAGCUUCGGCCAGAGGUGCACCCACCACCAUGCACAUCACCAACACACAAGCUAACUUAGUAGCCAUUGAGCAAGCCAUUAUAUAUAAAUUAUGGCAAGUAUUAAAGAAGGAAGAGA